GGCAUGAUGUGCUUUAGGAUUGCUCGACGAAGUGGCUGACUGUAUCUUGUGAAAAUUGUUGAACAUACUGUUCUGUACUCUGUGCCCAGUAAAUGAAGCAUUUCCUCUAGCAGAAGAUGUGUGUUGUCCAUAAAAUCUGUACUUUGAAGAACAUAUCCCAAGCCUAACAAGCAAUCCAUGUUUUUCUCCUAAAUAUGUGCUUCUCUGACUUUUUUCAAGGGAUUGUGCAACUCUUUUAAUACUAGCUAUUCUAAAGAAUCUUGACAUGACGA
rnacentral:misc_RNA from 1 species